UUUUUUUUAAUUUUUAUUUCAGGGUUUAUGGUUUAAGGUUUAAGGUUUAUGGUUUAAUUCUUAAAAUUUAUUUUUUUUAUUCGAGGGUUUAGGAUUUAGGGUUUAUGUUUAAGGUUUAAUUUUUAUUUUUAUUUUUAUUUUAGGGUUUAGGGUUUAGUGUUUAGGAUUUAAUUCUUAAAAUCUAAUUUUUUUAUUUUAGGAUUUAGGGUAAAGUGUAAUUUAUCAUGCCAAAAAACAUAGUGAGAAGAUGAAAAAUAAAAAAUAAAAAAAAAAACAAGGAUGAAACUGUGCCCGUUUUAGGGGCAAAAAAAAAUGAUUAAAAGGUGCCGUUUGAAAUCACGGUAGGCACAACAGGGACCGCAACACAGAAGGGACCCCGCCUCCAUCCCGAAAUGACACUCAGAAUAAAAGCUUGGCCAUGCGCGGAUUUGAGUUCUGAAACUCAGAAUAAAAGCUUUUAAACAUGGCACAUGGCCAAACUUCUAAAGAUGGCCAAGCGGAUUACCAAAUGAAUGAACAUGUCACAUGGCCAAGCUUUUAAAUCUACACAUUUACACAGCUAUAUUAAAUCUUCCUCCAACCUCCACGUGCUCUGUUGCUACUUCCCCUGAAUUGGAUUUCCCAACCUCCACGUGCUCUGUUGCUACUUCCCCUGAAUUGCAUUUCCCAACCUCCACGUGCUCUGUUGCUACUUCCCCUGAAUUGGAUUUCCCAACCUCCACAUGCUCUGUUGCUAGCAUUAACCUAGAAACUCAUAAUAAAAGCUUGGCCAUGUGCGGAUUUGGGUUCUGAAACUCAGACUAAAAGCUUUUAGACAUGGCACAUGGCCAAGCUUCUAAAGAUGGCCAAGCGGAUUACCAAAUGAAUGAACAUGUCACAUGGCCAAGCUUUUAAAUCUACACAUUUACACAGCUAUAUUAAGUCGCCAGAGUAUUCUGAACGUCAUUGGAAGUCUCUGGAAUGUCCAGAACGUCAAUGGACGUCAAAAAUAUCACUAGAGACUCAUCAGAAUGUCUAGAAUAUUGUCGGGAAAAAAACAAAAAGAAUGAAUGGAGAAAUUAGAAUGAAAAAACAUAACAAAAUAUGCUAAAUAUUGAUAAACUGAAAGAAAGAAAAAAUGUACCGAGAUACAGCAAAAAUGAGGGGAAAAAAAAAAACAUUAGUUAUUUUUCAUUUUUUUAGAGUUUUAGCAAAUAAUCUCAUAUAUUGAUUAAACUAAAAAGCAUGCUUUGAAACAAUAAAAUUUACUUCAAAUAAAAUUAUUUAUAUUUCUCACAUCAUAUUACAAUAUAAAUUAACACCAAUAAAUUAAAAAAUAAUCAAAAUUUACAAACAAAAGUCAAAAUAUCUCAACCGUUUACAAUUUGAUAAAUUUAUGAAUUUCAUUAUCAAUACGAAAUAAUCAUUCUACAAAUAUAAAACACAUUAAAAAAUCUCAAAAUUUUAUCAUUAUUAAAAUGAUAAACAAACACAUUAAAAAAAUCACACAAGACUUAAAAUUAAAUAAAUCUAUUCAAUAAAAUUAGCGAGUAAUUAUCUUUAUGUUACUUGGGCAAAUUAUACCGGUGGCAUUUAUAUUUUAUUCCUUGUGUCAUUUUGGUCUUUACAUUUCAAUUGACUCAAUUUUGACUAUUAAUUUUAGAUUUUGCAUCAAUUUGGUCCAAUUGAUAAUAUCGUUAGUGUUUUCUAAACAAAAAAUUAUCACUAAAUUUGUUAAGGCUAACUCAGUGAGUUUAGUAAGUUUAUAAUUUUGCCUUUAAAAAUAUGACACAUGACACUUAUGUACAUAUUUUUUAUUAAAAAAUACUAAACGUUAUAAACAAUUGGGUCAAAAUGAGACAAAGUUAUAAAUUUAAAAUCAAAAUCGAACCAAUUUAAAUUAUAAAAAUAAAAAUGACACAAAGAUCAAAAUAUAAAAACAGCUGCCAUAAUUUGGCCAGGUUAAUUUUAUCUUUCUUAUUUAAGUAAGUUUUUUUUUUUGAACAAGUAAAACAAGAGGCAAACAGAACCUAAACAAAGAAAACAUCUAGGCCAAUGCUAGCAACGGAGCAAGAGCAGGGGAAGCCGACCACGCAGAAAUUCUUGGGCUACCCAAUGUGCUGCUGCAUUUGCUGUUCUUGGACUCCAUUUGAAGGAGAAAUUUCCUUGAAUAGCCAAUCUCUUGAUAUCAUCAAACACAGCCCCACACUCCCAAGGAGGAACCUUUUCAGAGACACACAUGGAUGACUCAAAUCCGCACAUGGCCAUGUGCCAUGUUUAAAAGUUUUUAUUCUGGGUUUCAGAACCCAAAUCCGCACAUGGCCAAGCUUUUAUUCUGAGUUUCAUUUGGGGAUUUGGGUUGUGAGAAUGUUUAUUCAUUGUUCUUGGCCUUGUUGGAGGAAGAUUUAAUAAAUCUGUGUAAAUGUGUAGAUUUAAAAGUUUGGCCAUGUGCCAUGUUCAUUCAUUUGGUAAUCCGCUUGGCCAUCUUUAGAAGCUUGGCCAUGUGCCAUGUCUAAAAGCUUUUAUUCUGAGUUUCAGAACCCAAAUCCGCACAUGGCCAAGCUUUUAUUAUGAGUUUCUAGGUUAAAGCUAGCAACAGAGCAUGUGGAGGUUGGGAAAUCCAAUUCAGGGGAAGUAGCAACAGAGCACGUGGAGGUUGGGAAAUCCAAUUCAGGGGAAGUAGCAACAGAGCACGUGGAGGUUGGGAAAUCCAAUUCAGGAGAAGCCGACCACGUAGAAAUUCUUGGGCAACCCAAUGUGCUGCUGUGUUUGCUGUUCUUGGACUCCAUUUGGAGGAGAAAUUCCCUUGAAUAGCCAAUCUCUUGAUAUCAUCAAAAACAGCCCCACACUCCCAAGGAGGAACCUUUUCAGAGACACACAGAUGGAUGACUUAUUCAAGUUUUGGAUAUAAUCAUUGUGGGAGGAUGAGGGUAGCUUAUUUCACAUGCAGAUAACAACAAACAUAUUUAUAAGUUACAGAAGACAUCCUAUUUUACCAAAGAAAAAAAAGGCAACCAACAACUAAGAAAAUGAAUAAAAAAUAGAUGUGUGAUUUAUCUAAUUGUCAUAGAAUUUCCCAUUGUUAUAUAGUGAAGACUGAUAUAUGAAAUGAAUAUCAACCAUCCAUUCAUCAUUCUUUCUAAA